GCUUUCAUAGCUCAUUUGGUCAGAGCACUCCUUUAGUAAACAUGAGUUCAACUCUCAGUGAAAGUA
rnacentral:tRNA from 1 species